rnacentral:rRNA from 1 species
GAUGAACGCUGGCGGCGUGCCUAAUACAUGCAAGUCGAGCGAACGGACGAGAAGCUUGCUUCUCUGAUGUUAGCGGCGGACGGGUGAGUAACACGUGGAUAACCUACCUAUAAGACUGGGAUAACUUCGGGAAACCGGAGCUAAUACCGGAUAAUAUUUUGAACCGCAUGGUUCAAAAGUGAAAGACGGUCUUGCUGUCACUUAUAGAUGGAUCCGCGCUGCAUUAGCUAGUUGGUAAGGUAACGGCUUACCAAGGCAACGAUGCAUAGCCGACCUGAGAGGGUGAUCGGCCACACUGGAACUGAGACACGGUCCAGACUCCUACGGGAGGCAGCAGUAGGGAAUCUUCCGCAAUGGGCGAAAGCCUGACGGAGCAACGCCGCGUGAGUGAUGAAGGUCUUCGGAUAGUAAAACUCUGUUAUUAGGGAAGAACAUAUGUGUAGGUAACUGUGCACAUCUUGACGGUACCUAAUCAGAAAGCCACGGCUAACUACGUG